CCGGAGUCUCCCCCAUCUUCCCACGCCUUACCCCGCGUCGCUGAGCCACGGCUAUCGGGUUUCCUUCUAAGCUCGCCGCCGGAAGUGUGUUCCUGAUUCCGGAGGACUCGUCCCACUCCCGAGGAGGAUGGUGACAGUAUCUGAACCUUGGGUUGGAAAAGCUGCUGAGUGCUCAGAGCUUGGUGAGCCCUUGUGGGAACUUGGAGGAUCAACCUGAGAGCAGUGCGGACAGACAAUGGAGGCCUGGUUUGUGAGGUGCAGAGUUAAAUAUUCUACAACAUGACAAUGUCCUGGAUCUUCAGUCUUGGAGCAAGCCAGUAAGCAGCACUCUUCCAUGGCUUCUGGUUCAGCCCCUGCCUCCUGGUUCCUGCCCUGAGUUCCUGCCUUGAUUUCCCUGGAGGAUGGACUUAGAAGCUGCAAGAGUUAUAAAAUCUAUCUUGAAUUUCCCAGUGUGAAGGUGUGACAUCCAUAGCAGAGGCUCAUAAGCCGUGACCUGAGGCAGACUGGAAAGCAAGUGGAGAUGAAAUGUGAGGGCUUUUCUCGUGCCCUCACGGCACCCUUGUGUUGUGAUAAAAAAAAAAAAGUGUACACACACACACACACACCUGGUGGCAUCUUCCAUGUACUGCAGUGAACUCAUUAUUGAGGCUCUUAAAUUCUGUUUGCAGGUACAGUGAAGUGCUUUAAGUGUGGACACUCAAGGGUUUCUGAGAUGACAGACAUUGCCGUUCCAACAAGUUAGUUUUCUUUGCAAAAGUAAACAGCCUGCCCAAGGGCAAGUUUAUGGUUACGGUGCCACUUACCGAAUGUCUGAGAAAUUCUUAUUUCCUGUUUAGACAAGUCGUGAGAAAGGUAAUUGAGAAACAGGUCUGUGCGGCCUGGAGAAAGGUGCUCCGAAGCACGGCCAGGGUGGGGGCAGGCUCUUACUCUCAGGUGAUAAUUGGUUAUACACCUCACCGGCUGCUGGCUCUUCACAGGUCACCCCUGUAGUAGAACUCAGGACAUUUCUGUCAUUUCCCAUCCAUUCUGAUGUUCUCCAUCCAGCAGGAGGAGGAUGAAGAAGAUGAGAUUGCCACCCCCAUCACACCUGGCGAGUUGUCAGAACACUGUUAGAGUUUAAGACACUGUUCCUUCUGAUUGAACCCCAAAGCAACCACCAUGGUAGAACUGUUGUCCUCAGGAGGCAUGUUUGUGUCCUUACCCCUGGUCCUGGGAUUGUGGCCAGUUCUUAGCAUCCUUGACUCUUCUCUCCCACUCUAUAGGCCACGGCACCCUGCUCUGUGCUAAGCAGUAAGGACUGUAAGUCACUUUAUCUUAUUUCAGGUAUUAAUAAAAAUGAUUUUAAAGCUAAAAUGAGCAGAUCACGGUAGCACACGCCUGUAAUCCAGCACUUGGGUGGCACAGGCAAGAGGAUCAGGUGUUAGUAAAAGGCUAGCCUGGGCUACACAAGACCCUAUCUCAAAACUACACGGUAAAAUAGAAAUUAGACAGAAAACACGAGGUUCAUUUUUUUUUUAAAUCCUCUUUUUUUAACAUUUUUUUAAUAUUUAUUUAUUAUGUAUACAAUAUUCUGUCUGCGUGUAUGCCUUCAGGCCAGAAGAGGGCACCAGACCUCAUUACAGAUGGUUGUGAGCCACCAUGUGGUUGCUGGGAAUUGAACUCCGGACCUUUGGAAGAGCAGGCAAUGCUCUUAACCGCUGAGCCAUCUCUCCAGCCCCACGAGGUUCAUUUUUGUUUUAAUUCUGUGUGUGGAUGUGUGCAAGUUAGUGCACUUGCUGGAUGAGGACAGAGGUGUUGGAUCCCCUGGAGCUGGAGUCCCAGGCAGUUGCGAGCUGCCUGAUGUGGGUGCUGGAAUCAAACUCAGGUCCUCUGCAAGGGCAAUAGACACUCCUAACCUCUGAGCCAUCUCUCCACCUUAUUUUUGAUAAAUACAUUUCUCUCUUUUAUUUUAUUUUUUUAAGAUUUAUCACAUGUAUUCUUCAUGCAGGAAUGCCUGCAUGACAGAAGAAGGUACCAGAUCUCAUUACAGAUGGUUGUGAGCCACCACAGAUUUGCUGUGGAUUGAACUCAGGACCUCUGGAAGAGCAGCCAGUGCUCUUCAGCACUGAGUCAUGUCAUCUUAACAGCCCUGGUAAAACCUUUAAAACAAACAAAAAAACAAAAACAAAAACCGGCGUUUCAAAAGAAUGGUGAGCGAUGCCUUGAGGAACUGUGAGAGAGGCCCCAGGGUAAAAGGCAGAAGGCCUUUUACCUCAGGUGCAUUUUAGUCCCUGGAUUAUUCCUGGACGUGACUUCCUGCCUCCUGUGUUAGACAUUUGCGUUCAGUUUAUAAGCCGUGUUUAUUCGUGUUGGAUUUGGGGACACAGCUAUAGAACCCAGUCUGGUCAGCGUACCCUGACUCUGGAUAUGGCCUCUGCCUUGCCUUCAUGUUUUCCCAGGUGUAAUCUAUAGCGCGUGCCAAGCUACUGUGUUUCAGUUGGUCUGUCCUUAGAGAGACUGGGAAAGGGCUGCUCGGUUAAUAUUUAGCAUGUGCUUCCUGAUAUCUGUGUGCAUGUUUUUCUGCACUUGUACAUCCUUCCUUGGUCCACUGCCUUCUUUGUUGCGUUUGUGUGUAAAGUACACUGAUCCUGAAGGGCGGCUGUCUACAGAUCGACUGCCAUCUCCCCAUCCUCUCUGGUCCUCGGAUCCCCGGAUCUCUGGAGUAGCAGGCAAGAAAGUCGACACCAGGUGUGGUGGUUUGAAACCCUCCCCUGGGCUUGAGCCUUGAGCACCUGGGCUCCCAUUGGUAGCUUUGUUGGAUGAGUCACAGGGUGUGGUGGUUUGAAUGAGAAUGACCCCCAAAGGCUCACAUUUGCAUCCUUGGUUCCCAGUUGGAACUGUUGGGAAGAAUUAGGAGAUCUCGUUAGAGGUGCUUCAAAAGACUCAAGCCAUUCCCAGGUGGUUCUCUCUGCUUCUUGCUCAUGCACCAGGACAUGGAAGGUCCUAGCUACUGCUCCAGCGUCAUGCCUGCUGCCCUGCUCCCCACCGUGAGGACCACAGACUCCAACCCUCUGGAGCCCUCUGAGCCUGAGAAAACAUAUUUGCUACAUCCUGACCCAACCACAGACUAAAGCUAGGACCAGCCUGACCCUCAGGUGUUCCUAAUGCUCUGUGGGACCCGUGACUCAGCUGCUGUUGCUCGGCUUCCGUGACUACAAGACUUUCUGCUCCCCUCCAUAUCAGUCAGAAGCAUGACGAUGACACGGCUGUGCCCUAUUCUUUUUUUUUUUUUUUGGUUUUUCGAGACAGGGUUUCUCUGUGGUUUUGGAGCCUGUCCUGGAACUAGCUCUUGUAGACCAGGCUGGUCUCGAACUCACAGAGAUCCACCUGCCUCUGCCUCCCGAGUGCUGGGAUUAAAGGCGUGCGCCACCACCGCCCGGCUCCUGUGCCCUAUUCUUAUUAAAAGUUCAUGCUUGCUAACCGCCACACCAACGGGAUGUACCAAACCUGUGGUUUUGACCUUUCUGUACCUCCUGCUCACUAACCUCGAGGUCAUCUUGUAGUCACGGGAGUGGGUGCCUCUGGCCAGGUCUGGAUGGCUCAAAAAAAUUUCAAAUUCAUAGAGUUCAUCUGCUCACCUUCUCUUGGGUGAGAACAGCCUGGCUACAACACCCCAGAUUAAAUGUUUUCUCUUAUAAACUGCCUUGGCCAUGGUGUCUCGUCGUGGCAAAAGAAAAACCCCUAGUACACUGAGGAAAGAAGAAAUCCCUUUUAUUGUGUUUUUAAAGACAAACAAAAAACAGAGAAAAAAAAACCCCACAAACUACAAAGCUGGGUUGUCACCCAGGAAAGCGCUGACCCCUGGGAAGCAGGCCGGUCACCAGGGACCAGAGCAAUGUCCAUGAAGGGGAGCCUGGGCUGCCCUCCUCGAGCUGGACAGCUACGUGACUAGAAACAAGAGUCAGCGUGUCUGCUUCAGAAGUCCACAAAAGACCAUGGUUCUUCGUGCAGCCCCUGGCGGUGAGGUGUCCCUGGGGUUUCCCCAGUUUCUGUCCCUGCCUCUCUGUAUUUCUCUUUAUAUCGUCUCAGCGAUCAUAUUUCUCUUCUAUACCAGUCGUGUUAUGUGGCUGCUUCGUAUGGUCUUAAUGGAUCACAUAUGAAAUGACCCUACUUACCCAUAAGGUGAUAGGCUCAGAGGUAUUAGGGUAGGAUUUUAAUGACUUGGGAACACAAAUCAGUCCCCAGUUGGCAGCCAAGCUGCAGGUCUGUCUCGUUGCCUCUGGUGAUACCGGGUGGAAGACGUUUCUAUUUUCCUAUCCUCCUCCCACCGGCCCAGCUUCCAUGUGCUUAGAUCCUGCCUGGCCAGCGGUACACAGCAGGACCGUUACACAUUCCAGCCCAGGUGACUGUAGCUCGGCCAGGUGGCCCUGAGACAGCUCCAAAAACCAUCUCCAGGAGGGGGUCCCUCCCUUGGAUCCCUGCCCCAGGGGCAUCUGAUGGAGUCACCUGUGUGACACCCUUGGAUGGGGGAAGAGCAAACUGAAAGCUAGCCACCUCACUGUAGGAGGGCUUGCGUGAAGGAAGGGCGGAGGUCGUCAAGUCACCGCCACACUCACACUCCUGGCGGAUCUCCUGCUGUGAGAGAGGACCCUCAGGAUCAGCUCCUUCCAACGGGCUAGAGAAGGUACUGACCAUCACCAGUAGGGGGCGCAAGAAGCCACCGUAUUUCUGAUUCUGCUCACUCCGGCUAAUGUGUUGGUGGCUUCCACACGGGGCUGCACCUGGGGGUGUGGGGUCUUUGGCCUGUCUGUGGAAAGACCUAAAGAGUCACCUCACCAGAGAAGACAGACAAACACCAAACACAUAAAAAUGUGCUUAACAGCUUCAGCCACUGGGACAAUGGAAAUCAAAACCAGAGUUAAAAAACCCCUGACAUACCAGAACGCCAAAUGUUGGCAGGAUGAGAAGUUAGAACUCUUCCUGAAGUGCUGACGGUGGGGAAAGUGUCACCACAGCCAGGGGACCACAGCCUGAAUGUCCAGCAGGAAAUGGAUCAAGAUGGUGGGGUCUACGCUGAAGUGAAAGGAAAACGCCACAUCAGUUAGGCUUACAGACUAACUAACUCCUGCUCUGUUGAAGGAGCCAGACUCAGGAGGGAGCAUGCAGCAUCGUGCCAUGUUUAUAAAAAUUUGGAAAAUUCAAAUUAUUUGGUAGUGGCAAAGGUUCACGGUUGGUUGAGGCUAGAGAGGAUGGAGAGGGGCCAUCCAUGGCAUGACCCAGGAGCUUAAGAAGCCCAGUGAGACAAUGAUGUGCUCAUGCAAGCUUUGAUCCCAUGGGUGAACAUGUGUCAAAUGUAUCUAGGUGCCCACCCCGAAAGUGUACACUAUACCUCUCAACUACACUUCAGUAGAGUUAUCAAAAAUUAAAAAAAAAAAUAGGCGUUGGGAAUCAUCAUAGAGAGGCCUCUGUUGGCAGUUGAUGGGGACAGAUACAAAGACCCACAGCCAAACAUUAGGCGGAGAAAGAGCCCAAAUUGGAGAUCUGCAUCGGAUCUCUCCCCUUGGAGCUCAGAGAACCCCAUGGAGGAGGUAGAGGAAGAACUGUGGGAGUCAGAGGGGCAGAGAAUAGACACCAGGAGGACACAGUUCACAGAAUCAACUAAGCAGUGCUCAUAGAGCCUCGUAGAGACUGAAGCAGCAGUCAGGGAGCCUGUGUGGGUCUGCAUAGGACCUCUGCAUAUAUGUGAUUGUUGUUAGCUUGGAAUCUUGUGGGACUCAUAGCAGUAGAAGUGGGGGUGUCUCUGGCUCUUUUGCCUGCUCUUGGGACUCUUUUCCUCCUACUGGAUUGCCUUGCCCAGGCUUGAAGUGCGAGGGUUUGUGUCCAGUCUCAUUGUACAUUGUUGUGCCAUGUUCAGUUGGUGUCCCUAGGAGGCCUGCUCUUUUCUGAAGGGAAACUUGAUGUGGGAUUCCCCUCUGUCCACUGUGAAUACCAAUGGUUCAUAAAGAAACCGCUUUGGACCUAUAACAAGGCAGAACUUAGCUAGGCAGGGAAAACUAAACUAAAUGCUGGAGGAAGAAGGCAGAGUUUAGAAGAAGCUAUGGAGCUGCUGCCAGAGACAGACAUGCUGAAACUUUGCUGGUAGGCCACGACCUCAUGGUGA